rnacentral:rRNA from 1 species
GCGACCCCAGGAUGGGCGAGGUCACCCGCUGAGUUUAAGCAUAUCA